UACGUAGGGUGCAAGCGUUGUCCGGAAUUAUUGGGCGUAAAGAGCUCGUAGGCGGUCUGUCGCGUCUGCUGUGAAAACUCAGGGCUUAACCCUGAGCUUGCAGUGGGUACGGGCAGACUAGAGUGCGGUAGGGGAGACUGGAAUUCCUGGUGUAGCGGUGAAAUGACGCAGAUAUCAGGAGGAACACCGAUGGCGAAGGCAGGUCUCUGGGCCACUACUGACGCUGAGAAGCGAAAGCAUGGGGAGCGAACAGG
rnacentral:rRNA from 1 species